ensembl:misc_RNA 7SK 7SK RNA
GAAUGUGAGGGUGAUCUGGCUGCACCAUCUUUCAGCCCGUUGUUUUCCAGGGUUAGUUAGGUUGAUCCGGCUGUCUAGGAGGUCAUCCCCUUCCUCCUUCACCACUCCACCAAUCACCACCACUUACUUCACACCACUCACCUCUGUCACCACUCCAUAUCAAAGCUGUCCUUCAGUCAAGAGUGCAUGUGGAACCUGUGGUCCCCAGCUAGAAGCUCCACACAAGCUCUCAAGGUCCAUUUGUUGGAGAACAUAGCAUAGUCAAACUUCCAAGGCUUCAGACAUAACCAAAUGAGACGCUAUAUGAGGCAAUAUGCCUCUCUUA